rnacentral:rRNA from 1 species
CGGCUAACUACGUGCCAGCAGCCGCGGUAAUACGUAGGGGGCAAGCGUUAUCCGGAAUUAUUGGGCGUAAAGAGGGAGCAGGCGGCAGCAAGGGUCUGUGGUGAAAGCCUGAAGCUUAACUUCAGUAAGCCAUAGAAACCAGGCAGCUAGAGUGCAGGAGAGGAUCGUGGAAUUCCAUGUGUAGCGGUGAAAUGCGUAGAUAUAUGGAGGAACACCAGUGGCGAAGGCGACGAUCUGGCCUGCAACUGACGCUCAGUCCCGAAAGCGUGGGGAGCAAAUAGGAUUAGAUACCCUAGUAGUCCACGCCGUAAACGAUGAGUACUAAGUGUUGGAUGUCAAAGUUCAGUGCUGCAGUUAACGCAAUAAGUACUCCGCCUGAGUAGUACGUUCGCAAGAAUGAAACUCAAAGGAAUUGACGGGGGCCCGCACAAGCGGUGGAGCAUGUGGUUUAAUUCGAAGCAACGCGAAGAACCUUACCAAGUCUUGACAUCCCAUUGAAAACACUUUAACCGGUGUCCCUCUUCGGAGCAGUGGAGACAGGUGGUGCAUGGUUGUCGUCAGCUCGUGUCGUGAGAUGUUGGGUUAAGUCCCGCAACGAGCGCAACCCUUAUCGUUAGUUACCAUCAUUAAGUUGGGGACUCUAGCGAGACUGCCAGUGACAAGCUGGAGGAAGGCGGGGAUGACGUCAAAUCAUCAUGCCCCUUAUGACCUGGGCUACACACGUGCUACAAUGGAUGGUGCAGAGGGAAGCGAAGCCGCGAGGUGAAGCAAAACCCAUAAAACCAUUCUCAGUUCGGAUUGUAGUCUGCAACUCGACUACAUGAAGUUGGAAUCGCUAGUAAUCGCGAAUCAGCAUGUCGCGGUGAAUACGUUCUCGGGCCUUGUACACACCGCCCGUCACACCACGAGAGUUGAUAACACCCGAAGCCGGUGGCCUAACCGCAAGGAAGGAGCUGUCUAAGGUGGGAUUGAUGAUUGGGGUGAAGUCGUAACAAGGUAUCCCUACGGGAACGUGGGGAUG